rnacentral:lncRNA from 1 species
CAGUGGCAAAGCGUUUGUGUUUCAAUCCUUGGAACUCCAAGUGGGACUUCUUAAAAGAUUUAUAAGGAACAAAGAUGUCAGGAAAGCAGAAAUACACACGGACUCCAUGACUAGAAAAACCUCGUGGUGGCCUGCUCUCCGGUGCUUGGAAGUGUGCUAGUUACAUCUUGGAGAAUGGAGUGAUGGAGCACUGAGCUGCUGUGAGGAGGGAAGGAUCAUCAGAGAGAGACCUUACAGGGCAGAGGGCCUGGGACCAGCAACAGUACCGUUCCACAUCCGAGCACGGGUCGUGAGUUGGCAGUGGCUUCACCACAGCUGUUCAUCGGUAGCUCUGGCUGAAAUAAGGUGCCUGAUUUUCUUAACUCCACCCUGCUGAGAAGAUGCCCUCCAGGAGGCUGUGCUUGCAGACUCCACGGAGCCUCUCUCAAGAUUUCCUGAACCUUGUGGAUUUACAGUAAGACGAAGUUCCCUGGGGAGUAAUUCUGGUGGAUGCAAAUUCUGGAGUAAUACACCUGGCCUGCCUAGAGAUGUUACAAGUGGCCUAAUGGAUUUUUCUAGCCUGGACGCCCACUGGGGACAAGGAUCAUUACUGACAGGAUUGUAUCUCUACCCUUGACUCCAUGGGAAUAUUUGGUCUGCUCUCUCGGGCUCCCUCUAAAAUCCCUAGCUGUCCUGAAAUGAGCUCCCAAGACUAGGCUGGUUUGGAACUCACAGAACUCCAGGCUGCCUCUGAGAGCAAAGGCACGCACCAUCACAUGCACUCA